rnacentral:rRNA from 1 species
GUACGGGAGGCAGCAGUGGGGAAUAUUGCGCAAUGGGCGAAAGCCUGACGCAGCCAUACCGCGUGUGUGAAGAAGGCCUUCGGGUUGUAAAGCACUUUCAGUGGGGAGGAAAAGCGGGUGGCUAAUAUCCAUCGGCCGUGACGCUACCCACAGAAGAAGCACCGGCUAAUUCCGUGCCAGCAGCCGCGGUAAUACGGAAGGUGCGAGCGUUAAUCGGAAUUACUGGGCGUAAAGCGCACGUAGGUGGCUUGGUAAGUCGGAUGUGAAAGCCCCGGGCUCAACCUGGGAACUGCAUUCGAUACUGCUGAGCUAGAGUACGAAAGAGGGGGGUGAAAUUCCAGGUGUAGCGGUGAAAUGCGUAGAGAUCUGGAGGAACACCAGUGGCGAAGGCGGCCCCCUGGUUCGAUACUGACGCUGAGGUGCGAAAGCGUGGGGAGCAAACAGGAUUAGAUACCCCGGUAGC